AUUGAACGCUGGCGGCAUGCCUUACACAUGCAAGUCGAACGGCAGCACGGGUGCUUGCACCUGGUGGCGAGUGGCGAACGGGUGAGUAAUAUAUCGGAACGUACCUUAUUGUGGGGGAUAACGCAGCGAAAGCUGUGCUAAUACCGCAUAAUCCCUAAGGGGGAAAGCGGGGGACCGUAAGGCCUCGCGCAAUUAGAGCGGCCGAUACCUGAUUAGCUAGUUGGUGAGGUAAAGGCUCACCAAGGCAACGAUCAGUAGCUGGUCUGAGAGGACGAUCAGCCACACUGGGACUGAGACACGGCCCAGACUCCUACGGGAGGCAGCAGUGGGGAAUUUUGGACAAUGGGGGCAACCCUGAUCCAGCAAUGCCGCGUGAGUGAAGAAGGCCUUCGGGUUGUAAAGCUCUUUUGUCAGGGAAGAAACAGCAGCUCUAAUACAGUAUGCGAAUGACGGUACCUGAAGAAUAAGCACCGGCUAACUAUGUGCCAGCCGCCGCAGUAA
rnacentral:rRNA from 1 species